rnacentral:lncRNA from 1 species
AAAUUAUUACAGUCCCGAGAAUUCAACGCAAAAGGAGUUUAAAUGUCCAAUCAACACCCAUCCCUACGCUCCAUACCAGCCACCCUAUACCUACCCAAUUCAACUUUAGCCCAUGCCUAAGGGAGGCCAUCUGGUGGGCGGCCCUGUUGCUGUCAGCCGGAGUAAGGGACUAGGGUUUUCUGGUGGCGGCUCUUGGCUGCGGUUGCAGGGAAUCAAAAGAGGGUGGGCCGCUGAGACGGUGUGCUGUGCGUGAGAGACGACGGAGAGGGAGAUCGGUGGUAGGGGUACGAGUGGCGGUGGUCGUGGCUGCGACGGCGGCUGUUUCCGCCGGGGAAGAAGGGUCGGCGCCGCUGGUUCAGGAUGUGUGUGUGUGAUGUUAUGUUUUCAAGGAGAGAGAGUUGUGAGAGCAGAGGGUGGCCGGAGAGGCGGCGACUUCGCCAGGAAGGAAAGGGGGCGGUGGUUGUGAGUCCAGUGUGUGUGCGUUGAGAGAGAGAGAGAGUUUAGAGAAGAUGCGAAGAAAUCGGCUGGGUCAAGAAGAAAAAAAAAGAAGGGU